rnacentral:rRNA from 1 species
AUUGAACGCUGGCGGCAGGCCUAACACAUGCAAGUCGAACGAGUGGCGGACGGGUGAGUAAUGUCUGGGAAACUGCCUGAUGGAGGGGGAUAACUACUGGAAACGGUAGCUAAUACCGCAUACCAUCGGAUGUGCCCAGAUGGGAUUAGCGUGUUGGUGGGGUAACGGCUCACCAAGGCGACGCUCCCUAGCUGGUCUGAGAGGAUGACCAGCCACACUGGAACUGGGACACGGUCCAGAAUCCGACGGGAGGCAGCAGGGGGGAAGAUUGCACAAUUGGCGCAAGCCUGAUGCAGCCAUGCCGCGUGUAUGAAGAAGGCCUUCGGGUUGUAAAGUACUGUCAGCGGGGAGGCGUUACCCGCAGAAGAAGCACCGGCUAACUCCGUGCCAGCCGCCGCGGUAAUUC